rnacentral:tRNA from 1 species
CCCGAUGUAUCUGAAACAAUAGACAUUGCACGACUGUCAUGAAUGUUCGUCUCA